CCGUUGCCGGCGACCGGCGCACGGGUGAGUAACACGUAUGCAACCUGCCCGUGGCAGGGGGAUAAGCGGGGGAAACCCCGUCUAAUACCGCGUAACGCGGCCUAGGGACAUCCCAAGGCCGCCAAAGGGAGCAAUCCCGGCCACGGAUGGGCAUGCGGCGCAUUAGCUAGUCGGCGGGUAACGGCCCACCGAGGCGACGAUGCGUAGGGGUUCUGAGAGGAAGGCCCCCCACACUGGUACUGAGACACGGACCAGACUCCUACGGAAGGCAGCAG
rnacentral:rRNA from 1 species